rnacentral:tRNA from 1 species
AUUUUUUUAGUAUAUAUAGUAUAUUUGACUUCCAAUCAAAAGGUCUUAUUUAAAGAAAAAAUA